GUUUGAGACCUCAGAUUAAGGAGCCUUUUGAGGGGAUUUGCAAGAUUCGUCAAGUAGCUCAUGCAGACCCAACAAAUUCUAUAGAAAUGAAGGGAAUUAAACAGAUAUUUUGUCUCAAAAUGCUGAAGUACCUUCUAUUUGGAGGCAAGUCUAACAGUAGUUCUCUCGUACGCAGCAGCAAAAUUGAGCAUUUCUGCCUUCUUUCUUUUAGGAGCAAAAGCAUCCUGUAUCAAAAUUCCAAUAAAUCUAACUUCUUGCACAAAAUUCUUGUUCUUUUGAAGAAGCGGAAUUUUUCCACUUGGAAGUAGCUAACAAGGUGUAAAAUACAAUGGUUAUUAAAUCAAACAGCUAUCUUAUCUUCUAUGUAUUAAUCUGAAAAGUUUUACCAUCCAUAAUAAGUACUGUUUGCAGUUACCUUUAGCAAAGAUGGCUUUAGAUACCGGUGGUGUCAGUUUCAGGGUGCCGUUAUUGGUGCUUGUAAAUAUAGCUAAAAUAGGUUCUUCUAAAAAAAAUAUAAGGGAAAUUGCUUAUCAAAUACCGUAGUAGUGAACACAGAUAGGUCAAGAUGAUCUUACAAAAGCAAGAAAGUUCAGAUCAUAAAGUGAUAUUUUAUGCUUACUUUCAUUUGCCUCUGAAAAAAAACAACUUUACCAUACUCUUUGAUUGAUAAUCCUUUCUUUGAUCAUCACAGGGGUGCAUCCAUUGCUAUUCUUAUUUUUUCUGCCCAUAUGGGAAACCAAGAUACUGAAUCAUCAAAACAAUGGCAAAAACCACACCCAAUAACAGACUAAGUUGUCUAAUUUGAGAGCCCAUGUUUGACCAGCAGUUUGAUUGAAGAAAGCACACCUCUAUCCCUAGAUAAUUUUCACAUUCCAAAUUCAAUAUCGCCACAUAGUAGUUUUCUAUAUACUACUACACAAUAUCUCAGUAUUAGAAUAACAUAAUAAACCACAAGUACAAAGGGCGAAUUCAAUUUUUUUAAACGUGAGAAACCAUUCUUCAAAUAGUUCAACCCUUUAACAAGAACAAUUCUCCACUUGGACUAAUGCUCAAGCUGAUGUUAUCACUAUUAUGAUCCAAAAGCAGAAUCAUAAUUUUUGCUCUGUUACUAAAUUAAUCAGCCAGAAAAACACAAACACAAGAAAUGCAACCGCACAAGAGCUGCUUGGUCAAUAAUAACAAAAUAAAAAGCAGGAAAUCAGAAAAAAGGUAGCAACAUCACUAAAUCACCAAACAAGAAAAAGCAAGUCAAAUUAUUCCUCAAACAAUUGAGUACAAUUUAAGAAACCAAGACAGCAAAAAACCCAACAAAACUACUUAAGCAAAUAAACUACUAUAACAUGAUAACCAACUAUAAGUACACUAGUAAAUUAACUGAAAUCAGACCGUUAGCUUCAAUUACCCGAUCAAAAUCAGACAAAGAACUGCUUCAGCUUCAAGCCACGUUUAGCCAACAAAAAGAACCUCAAAGGACAAAAGUCCAACAUAUUAAGCAUGAUGACUUUUCUUCAGCAGGUUGAAGAUGACAUUCAAGAAGUACUUGAGCUUUUUCAACGGCUUCAUGGAUGUGAGGAUACAUAUUCGUAGCAGUCCUUAAAUGAAAGUCUCCACCAGCUCUGGAAGCAUCCAACAUGCUGUUGCAGUUGGCAAGAUGUGUAAGAAUUGUAAAUCCCAACUAAUUAUAAGAAAAAUGGUAACAUUUCGUCAGCAAUUCAAUAAAUGCAAACUGUUAUAACUGGUAAGCGUCUCGAUACCUGCUCACUGUCAGAUACAAUCAAGGAAUUCUCUUGAGCAGCUAUAAAAGCUAGAUGAAUUUUGUACC